UACGGAGGAUCCAAGCGUUAUCCGGAUUUAUUGGGUUUAAAGGGAGCGUAGGCGGCUUGUUAAGUCAGGGGUGAAAGACGGUGGCUCAACCAUCGCAGUUCCUUUGAUACUGACAAGCUUGAAUAUAGUUGAGGUAGGCGGAAUGUGACAAGUAGCGGUGAAAUGCAUAGAUAUGUCAAAGAACACCGAUUGCGAAGGCAGCUUACUAGGCUAGUAUUGACGCUGAGGCGCGAAAGCGUGGGGAUCAAACAGG
rnacentral:rRNA from 1 species